GACGAACGCUGGCGGCGUGCCUAAUACAUGCCAGUUGAGCGAUGAAGAUUGGUGCUUGCACCAAUUUGAAGAGCAGCGAACGGGUGAGUAACGCGUGGGGAAUCUGCCUUUGAGCGGGGGACAACAUUUGGAAACGAAUGCUAAUACCGCAUAAUAACUUUAAACAUAAGUUUUAAGUUUGAAAGAUGCAAUUGCAUCACUCAAAGAUGAUCCCGCGUUGUAUUAGCUAGUUGGUGAGGUAAAGGCUCACCAAGGCGAUGAUACAUAGCCGACCUGAGAGGGUGAUCGGCCACAUUGGGACUGAGACACGGCCCAAACUCCUACGGGAGGCAGCAGUAGGGAAUCUUCGGCAAUGGACGAAAGUCUGAACGAGCAACGCCGCGUGAGUGAAGAAGGGUUUCGGAUCGUAAAACUCUGUUGGUAGAGAAGAACGUUGGUGAGAGUGGAAAGCUCAUCAAGUGACGGUAACUACCCAGAAAGGGACGGCUAACUACGUG
rnacentral:rRNA from 1 species